GUAAAGGCCCUUUUCAGGGCCACCAACAAUGUGAUUUAAAUUCUUU
rfam:Schistosoma mattheei strain Denwood, Zambia genome assembly, scaffold: SMTD_scaffold0028867